UACGGAGGAUGCAAGCGUUAUCCGGAAUGAUUGGGCGUAAAGCGUCCGCAGGUGGCAAUGUAAGUCUGCUGUUAAAGAGUCUAGCUCAACUAGAUAAGAGCAGUGGAAACUACAUAGCUAGAGUACGUUCGGGGCAGAGGGAAUUCCUGGUGUAGCGGUGAAAUGCGUAGAGAUCAGGAAGAACACCAGUGGCGAAGGCGCUCUGCUAGGCCGUAACUGACGCUGAGGAGCGAAAGCGUGGGGAGCGAACAGG
rnacentral:rRNA from 1 species